AACACGUUACUGUUAAAAAUGUAGAGGGACAAUGAAAUAAUUUUUUUAGCUGUUGAGCUAGAAUAGUUCCUAAAAUAAAUCAAUAAAAGAAAAAAAUAUGCUAAAAAUACAUAUAGAUAAAAAAAUAAAUAAAAGUUAAAUUUGAAAUAAUUUUAUGUUAAUAAAAUUAUAAAAAAAAGUGAAAAAUAUUUUUUAAAAAAUUUUUAGAUAAAAAAAAAGUUAAAUCACUAAUUACAUGCACACAUCAAUAUUGUAACAAAAGAUACCCAUUUUAUUAAGAGUGAAGAUUUAUUAAGAAAAAAAUUACUUUAUAUGGAAAGUUUGGAAAAAAGUGCUAAAUUAUUAAUAUGCCAGAAUAUUCUACUAGCUGUACUUUCAAACCUGUUGCAAAUUUUGGACAAAGCUCUGUAAAAAAAAUCGUUAAUCAUUUUUUUGUUUCAAAAAUGGACAAAGUGACUUUUUUACGCAACCUGGUUCUAAUCUAAAGAUUUAAAUUGCAAAAAAAAAACGGAGGACUUCUAAUAUGAAAUGCAGCUGUGCUUCAUCUGAUGCCGGAUAGAAAAGGUUAUCCAAUCAAAUUAUUGUUAAUUAUUACAAUAAGGUACCUUAUAAUUUAAAUUUUAAGAAUGUUUUAGGUAAAUGAUUUUUUUUUAUUUCAUCGACAAAUCAUACGCGGACAACGCGGAUCUCAUACCACUCAUAUUAUGGUAAUAGAUAUUCAAAUAGACUUCAUUCGAAUGAGACAAGUCUUCGUCUUUGUCUUUAGUCGUCGUCAAGUCAUUCUUAAGCACUAGUUUUGAGUAAUUCACAUUAUUUUUGACAACAUCAUCUAAUUCUAUUAAAUUUUU